rnacentral:lncRNA from 1 species
UCUCAGUUGACUACCGUAAAAAAAAAAAGAAAAUAAAAAUAAAAAACUCCAGAACAUUUAGUUAGUGUUUAUUUUCUUCCCACAGCAAAACUAAAGUUAGUCGUGGUAAAAACCAAUUUAUGGCUAUCAUAUUCUCUCUCUCUCUCUUUUUCAUCUCUGUCUUUCAAAUGCACUGUUUUAAUCAUCAAGGUGCAAUGAUGGGGACAAAAGAUGGAAGGAAAUCCAAUA